AAUACGACUCUCGGCAACGGAUAUCUCGGCUCUCGCAUCGAUGAAGAACGUAGCGAAAUGCGAUACUUGGUGUGAAUUGCAGAAUCCCGUGAACCAUCGAGUCUUUGAACGCAAGUUGCGCCCCAAGCCGUUAGGCUGAGGGCACGUCUGCCUGGGUGUCACAC
rnacentral:rRNA from 18 species